rnacentral:rRNA from 1 species
GACGAACCGUGCGAACGUUAUUCGGAAUCACUGGGCUUAAAGCGCGUGUAGGCGGCCCGGCACGUCCGUCGCUGAAAUCCCCCGGCUCAACCGGGGAAGUGGCGUGGAUACGACCGGGCUGGAGGGGGGUAGGGGGAGCCGGAACUUCCGGUGGAGCGGUGAAAUGCGUUGAGAUCGGAAGGAACGCCCGUGGCGAAAGCGAGGUCCUGGACGCCUACUGACGCUGAGACGCGAAAGCCAGGGGAGCGAACGGG